UCGAUUCAAACUGUUGCGCAAAGGCUAAUUUCCUUUUCACUCUCAAACCUAAAGAGAAAAAUUAAAUUAAAUCUCUUCCUUUCCAUCAUUUUUCUCAUGCCAUGUUUUCCUUUUCUCAGUUACUUUUUUAAUUUCAACCAAACCAAAUACAAGAGAGACGGCUGCAAAUCACAUGCCUCCUCCCAUAGGCCCAGGCUUCCAUCCCAAAAAGAUCUGGAUAGCCACUAGCAAUGCUAACGUGGGCCAGUUCCAUGAGAAAAUGGCCCUGGUGAUUAGCCAGCACCUCCACACCGUGUAAAACCUGAUUAAUAUCCUAAAAAUGGGCACAAUGCAUCAUAGUCUUGCCAUGGCCAAGCCUUCUCUUUCAAUGCCAUGUCUCCACCAAAGGCCAGCUAGAUUCUGUUUUACAUGCAUGAAUAAAUAGCACUAGCAUUGUUGUAUAAAACACACACUUUCAAAAUGGCAGAGCCAAUAGCCAGGAUAAGUGCCAUUGGCUUUGUUUCUCUCUAUCCUCAGAAAAGGGAAGAUGCGAGUUCAUUCACAUAUGAUGCAACUUAGGUGUAAUCUGCCUUCAGUUUUUCUAGUUCUUCCUGGCCUAACUCCCCCUUGUUAGGUUUGGUUAGCACCAAAACAAAGCAUGUAGGCCUCUUGGUGGCUCCUGCGGUAGCAAGUUCCUCCUUCAACGGAACGUAUAUGUAUGGGAUUUCGGCUUCUUCACACAAGAUGGGUACAUGUGUGAUCACGUCGAUUGGAGAAAUGUUUCCAGCUAUUACACACAAGAUAAUGGAAGGAGUGUUUCUGCAUCCAUGCAGGUAUUAUUGUUUGAAUGAUCUUAUUAUUCACCUAUGGUUGCAAUAAUUUAGAAACUUGAAAUUUUGUUUGUUUUAUGACAUCUUUGUUUUAGAUUUCUGAAUUUGUUUCCACAAAAGUAGAUUUUGGAUCUGAACUAGCUAUAAGUACUAGAACGGAGCUUAAGCCAGGUGAUAAGAUUAAAGUGCUUAGUCAGUACUCAAUCGGUUGUUCUCAAUUAUUUGUGUGAAUGCAAUGAUUAAAUGUUUUAUAUAUGUAAUGAUUGUUUUAUUGGUGAUAAUAAAAUGCCCUUCUGCUUGACUUAUUAGUUACUUGGUGGCAACAACAUGGGAUUAAUUGCUUACAACUCCAGCGGAUUGCCAUAGGCAUAUUAAGCCAGAGAUGCUUUUCGUUUGUUUGUGAACACAGCUGGAGUUCAUUUGAUUAGAUGCAUUGUAAAAUUACCUUUUAGAUGCCCAAGAGCACCCAACUAAGGCUGUGGACAUUUUUGCAGCUUCCUCAGCUUCUUCUAUCAGCAGAUUGUCUAUAAUGAAAGAAAUUGUGAAGAUGUUGUGUGUUUUGACAUCAGAAGCAAAGACAUUAUACCCUCCAAAUAAGCCUACAAUACAGAACUUGUUAUCAGAGUUGCUAGUUGGAUGAAUUACCCUCCCCUGCACUUCAGCAUCGGUAUGUGCAUGCAUUUAAAAUUUGGUUCUAUAGAAAUGUAGGGGCAUAAUUCUGGAUGGCAGGCACAAAGAGGAAGUGAGAAGUUUGAUGACCCAAAGCCAUUUUCUUUUCUAGAAGAGUUGAAAUCCAGUAAGGCCCGCAGAUUUGAGCUACCUGAUAUUGUUGGACGUAUUGUUGAGUUCAGGCAAGCUUCUAUAUUAACUUCUACAAAUCUUAUGCAUGAAAGUAUAUUUGUAAUUUUGUAAUAUAUUUAAUAUGCAAGAAAGUAAUCAUUCUGUGCAUGUCUGGCAUCAGUGCUGACCAACAUGGGAGUCAGUUUAUUCAACAGAAGUUGGAAAACUGUAGCACUGAAGAGAAGAUAUCUGUUUUUGAA